rnacentral:tRNA from 1 species
UCCGAAUGGGCUGCAAUAAGCAGGAUAUUUUGAUAUAGUAUUAUUUGAAGCAAAGGCUUUCAUCGGUA